UAAUACGGAGGGUGCAAGCGUUAUCCGGAAUCAUUGGGUUUAAAGGGUCCGCAGGCGGAUUUAUAAGUCAGUGGUGAAAUCCUAUCGCUUAACGAUAGAACUGCCAUUGAUACUGUAAGUCUUGAAUUCGGUCGAAGUGGGCGGAAUGUGUAGUGUAGCGGUGAAAUGCAUAGAUAUUACACAGAACACCGAUAGCGAAGGCAGCUCACUAGGCCUGGAUUGACGCUCAGGGACGAAAGCGUGGGGAUCAAACAGG
rnacentral:rRNA from 1 species